rnacentral:rRNA from 1 species
GACGGAGGAUGCAAGCGUUAUCCGGAAUGAUUGGGCGUAAAGCGUCCGCAGGUGGCAGUUCAAGUCUGCUGUCAAAGACCGGGGCUUAACUUCGGAAAGGCAGUGGAAACUGAACAGCUAGAGUAUGGUAGGGGCGGAGGGAAUUCCUGGUGUAGCGGUGAAAUGCGUAGAGAUCAGGAGGAACACCUAUGGCGAAAGCAGGUUUCUGGACCAUCACUGACGCUGAUCUGCGAAAGCUAGGGGAGCAAACAGG